CGUGAAUCAUCGAAUCUUUGAACGCAAAUUGCACUCCUUGGCAUCCCGGGGAGUAUGCCUGUUUGAGGGUCAGUAUAUUAAAAAUCGGUGCGUCGCAUGAUGCUCCGGAGUAUGGGUCAUCUUAGCUGUGAAGGUUUUAAGAGGCUUAAAA
rnacentral:rRNA from 1 species